UCUUAGCUACCAUUCAAGUAGUUACGUCAGUGCAUAGAGAUAAUUCCUGUAUCCAGUUCCUUGGCCACUGUGGCGUUAGGUGAUAGGAAAAAUAUAAAAAGAGGAGUCAUUAUGCUUAGGAAGACACUGGACUGCAACAAUCACAAAACAUGGUAAUCAAAUCCAGUUUAAUAGCACUAAGCACUUAAAACAUUUGUGAUGCUGACUUAUUCUUUUCUUUCAAAGAAAUCCUGUUAAGAACGAAAGAUCCUCUAUGUGAUUUCGUGACUUGACGGUUGUACGUCUUCUAUUGCAAAGUUAGUAGGCUCAUACAACCAUCCUAAAGUUAUACAGAGGUGAAGAGUUACUUCACUGGAACUGCAAUUUUGCUCAAAUCGGACAUCGGAAGUACUGUGCAUGAAGGUAAGUAUUAUUUUCUCUCAAAGUGACCUCUCCCAUGAACAUUGGAGGCCUCUUAAGAUAUGACCUCUUAAUUUCGUAGCCACACUUGAGUUCUGAAAUUGUAUAGACAGUUCUCAUUUGUUCAUAGGUCAAUCUCUUCAUUCCAGCUCUAACACUGUUGAGUUCUUCUUACUGACAUUCAGUAUCAACGUGCUCUUGUUCAUUGGCAAUGAAAACUUCCUAAUGCGGACUUCCAACUCUUCUACUCUAGUAGAGCGGAAAUGGUCAGCAUGACGAAUAUUAUUAUUAUUUUCACUUUAGUACAAGUACACCCCGCUGGCCACUAAAGACCUUAUGUACAAUGAAACUUACCUGCAGUCUUCUUGUAUUAUGCUUCACCCCAUGUAAUGUAGUGAAAGUAGAUCACACUCUUGCAACAAAAUCCCGAAAGAAAAUCUCAUUCAAACACUACAAAAAUACCAAACGACCAACGAGAGAGCGACACACAAAAUGACGUACAUAUGUAGGUGUAUAUAUCAUCAAACAUUUCUUAAAUGGCCACGGAUUUACCACUAGGUUUUGUUGGUUCCAACAACAGACUCAUAGGAAAUUGGAAAAUGUAUACAUCUGUUGACAUUAGGUAAAAACAGAAGUUUUUGUGGUGUUUGUUACACGUUGCUAUCCAAGCCACACUAUGAUACUCGUUAACGCUACUACAGCCAAUUAGGUUUCACAUAUCUCUUAUCGUCUUAAUAUCAUCUCUGUUGAAAUUGCUACAUCAUUUCCUUCACCGUUUCUCUUGGAAUCGUUACCUCCUUCACACAGUUGUGUUAAUUGUGGACUCACACAUUCGUAGAAUUUUUUAAAAGACUUCAUAUUCCCAGUGACUGUACAUUUAUUAUAAUAUCCACUAUUGCAGCUUCGACUUUCUGGUCAUUUUCAAGUGGUUACGGGCGCUGAAGAGUCGGCAGUAGUCAUCGUUCAUAAAGAGAAUAAAAACGACUUGAAUCUCUAUGGCUCGUGUCAGCCUUUGUCGCACUCACCAUCGUUAUGUGACAGAUAGAAUAGGAUAAAAACACGUUAAUGCUGACUACUACUGCGUUUUCAGCACCCGUAACCAUUUGAAAAUGACUAAAAGGUCGAAACUGCAAUAAUGAGUAUUGUAACAAACGUAUAGUCUUGGUGAAUAUGAAGUAUUAAAAAAAAAAGGCGUAACCUCCUAGUUUCAUCAGUCAGGUGACAUUCUCUCUCUGUUGAGUUACACUCCGUCGAUAGUCUAUCGUUUCGAUCAGGAGUAUCAUUGUGUUAUGUGUCUGUCAUCGUAAUAAGUUUAUUUGUUGAUUACAGUAGUACAGCUGUGCCAAUGGAGAUAAGCAUUUAGCAAUCGACUGGAAGGAGGCAGUCCUCAGAGCUAACGAGAUACCACAGCUCACUGUUGGUGAUGCCGCGGCUCCAGUUUGGUUUUUGACCAGCCGUAACAGGAGCCGCAAACGACGUUCACCUCGCAAAGUCCAAGGAUGUCUCCACUGGACAGUCAUCUGCAUCAUGUAGCAGCCUACCACAACGUGAAUAUGAGGCGGCUGUGGCUGCAGCGGCGACGUCUGAGGAGAAAGUGGCGGACUGAAAGUGCUUUGAGGGCCCGCGGUGAAUGGCUGCGGGUGGCCCGGACGUCGUCAAUGGCAGCUCAGUGUUGGUGUUGAUGCUGACUUGUCAACAACGGCAUCAUUCUCACUUGUAAUGGAGUCAUCUGUUACACUUCUGAACUAAUAUGGACGGAGGUGCAUAGAGGAAUUCCGUGCCACUUAAAAGAGGUUGUCGUGAGUGAAGCAUAAUGAUAACGCUUCAAGAAAAGGCUCAGUGUGUGGAAUGGUUCACUUAGAUCAAAUCGGAAGAAUAGAGUCAAAGGGAACUUCCAGGCACGGUAUCGGAAACACCCACCCUCGCAGACGUCGGUACGCAGGUGGUACAGACGUUUGAUGCACACAGCAAGCGUUGAUUUGAAGCAUAGUGGACGACGUGGAACAAGUGAACCCGAAACAGGAUGGAUACGGUAGGCAUUUCAACGUUCUCCACGGAAGUCUGUUCAGAGUUCAUCGCAGCAGCUGCAAAUCCCUGGAGCGACAGUGCAUCGGGUCCUUCGGCAACGUGUGCGUGUGUAUCCAUGCCGGCUGCAGUUGUUAUAAGUAUUGACACCAGAUUACGAGCCACAACGUAUGCAGUUCGUCGUGGACGUUCUUUACAGUUUAGAGAAGGAUAGAUAUUUUCUAAACAACCUAGAAUUUUCUGACGGAGAAACAUAUCACUUGUGUGGUACGGUAAACAAACACAAUGUUUGCGUUUGGGGCACAAUCAAUCCUCCGCAUACUGUGACGGAUGAAGUACGAGGCCUGUUCAGAAAGUAAGCUCCGAUUGAUUGCCAAAUUGAAACCACAGUGAACAUCAGAAAUGUUUUACUUGUAACAAUUAGCUACACCUUUCAGCUACUUUUCUACGUAGUCGCCGUUCUGACUUAGACUUUUGUCAUAGCGUUGUACCAACUUUUCAAUAGCCUCAUCAUAGAAGGCAGCCCCCAGUGCUUUCCGCCAAUUCUCC